GAUGAACGCUGGCGGAGUGCCUAACACAUGCAAGUCGAGCGGCAGCGCGAGUAGUUUACUACUUGGCGGCGAGCGGCGGACGGCUGAGUAACGCGUGGGAACAUGCCCCCAAAGUGAGGAAUAACUGCCCGAAAGGGUAGCUAAUGCCGCAUACGAUCUUCGGAUUAAAGGAUUUAUCCGCUUUGGGAGUGGCCUGCGUACGAUUAGAUAGUUGGUGAGGUAAUGGCUCACCAAGUCUACGAUCGUUAACUGGUUUGAGAGGAUGAUCAGUCAGACUGGAACUGAGACACGGUCCAGACUCCUACGGGAGGCAGCAGUGAGGAAUCUUCCACAAUGGACGAAAGUCUGAUGGAGCAACUCCGCGUGCAGGAUGAAGGCCUUCGGGUCGUAAACUGCUUUUAUGAGUGAAGAAUAUGACGGUAACUCAUGAAUAAGGGUCGGCGUAACUACGUGCCAGCGAGCCGCGGUAA
rnacentral:rRNA from 1 species